rnacentral:rRNA from 1 species
GACGUAGGGCGCGAGCGUUGUCCGGAUUUAUUGGGCGUAAAGAGCUCGUAGGCGGCUUGUCGCGUCGUCUGUGAAAACCCGCGGCUUAACUGCGGGCUUGCGGUUGAUACGGGCGGGCUAGAGUUCGGUAGGGGAGACUGGAAUUCCUGGUGUAGCGGUGAAAUGCGCAGAUAUCAGGAGGAACACCGGUGGCGAAGGCGGGUCUCUGGGCCAUAACUGACGCUGAGAAGCGAAAGCAUGGGGAGCGAACAGG